GAAUCAACGACUCCCUAAUUUCUACUGUUUAUCUGUUUUAUUUUAACUAUCCAGUACAGAUUGGAUUAAGAGUGACUGUUCCUAAUGUACAGUAGGAGUAUAAGGUUUGGCGUUGCUUACUUGUAUAACUUCAAAUGUUUCGUAUUUCAGGUGACUUGAAGCCUGGAGCAGAAGUCAAGAUAACUGGACCUGUUGGGAAAGAAAUGCUCAUGCCUAAAGAUCCAAAUGCCACCAUUGUUAUGGUGAAUUUUUCUUUAGCUAGUUUAUUGUCAUCUAAGUCAUUUCUGCUGCCUUUUAGUUGACUAUGCAUUUUUUGCUAUUUCGUGACUCCCUAAUUUCAUAGACUAUGUUAAUGUUUGUCUGUUUUUAUCAUAGUUGUCCAAUCCAGAUUGGAUUAAAGUGACUGUUCCUAAUGCAUAGAACAAGAACAUGCUUGCCUGCUUACUUAUGUAAGUUCAAAUGUUACAUAUUUCAGGUGACUUGAAGCCUGGAGCAGAGGUCAAGAUUACUGGACCUGUUGGGAAAGAAAUGCUCAUGCCUAAGGAUCCAAAUGCCACCAUUGUUAUGGUGAAUUUUUCUUUAGCUACUUUAUUAUCAUCUAAGUCAUUUCUGC
rnacentral:lncRNA from 1 species